UACGUAGGGUGCAAGCGUUGUCCGGAAUUAUUGGGCGUAAAGAGCUCGUAGGCGGUUUGUCGCGUCUGCUGUGAAAACCCGAGGCUCAACCUCGGGCCUGCAGUGGGUACGGGCAGACUAGAGUGCGGUAGGGGAGAUUGGAAUUCCUGGUGUAGCGGUGGAAUGCGCAGAUAUCAGGAGGAACACCGAUGGCGAAGGCAGGUCUCUGGGCCACUACUGACGCUGAGAAGCGAAAGCAUGGGGAGCAAACAGG
rnacentral:rRNA from 1 species